rnacentral:rRNA from 1 species
GCUGGCGGCGCGCUUACACAUGCAAGUCGAACGAGAAAGUGGAGCAAUCCAUGAGUACAGUGGCGUACGGGUGAGUAACACGUGGGUAAUCUACCUCUUGGUGGGGAAUAACCUGGGGAAACCCGGGCUAAUACCGCAUGAUCCUGGAAAGGCAAAGCAGCAAUGCGCCGAGAGAGGAGCCCGCGGCCGAUUAGCUAGUUGGUAGGGUAAUGGCCUACCAAGGCUAUGAUCGGUAGCCGGCCUGAGAGGGCACACGGCCACACUGGCACUGAAACACGGGCCAGACUCCUACGGGAGGCAGCAGUAGGGAAUCUUGCACAAUGGGGGAAACCCUGAUGCAGCGACGCCGCGUGAGCGAUGAAGCCCUUCGGGGUGUAAAGCUCUUUCGGCAGGAACGAUAAUGACGGUACCUGAAGAAGAAGCUGCGGCUAACUACGUGCCAGCAGCCGCGGUAAUACGUAGGCAGCAAGCGUUGUUCGGAGUUACUGGGCGUAAAGAGUGUGUANGCGGCUUUCUAAGUUCGGUGUGAAAUCUCCCGGCUCAACUGGGAGGGUGCGCCGGAAACUG